GACGAACGCUGGCGGCGUGCUUAACACAUGCCAGUCGAACGGAAAGGCCCUGCUUUUGUGGGGUGCUCGAGUGGCGAACGGGUGAGUAACACGUGAGUAACCUGCCCUUGACUUUGGGAUAACUUCAGGAAACUGGGGCUAAUACCGGAUAGGAGCUCCUGCUGCAUGGUGGGGGUUGGAAAGUUUCGGCGGUUGGGGAUGGACUCGCGGCUUAUCAGCUUGUUGGUGGGGUAGUGGCUUACCAAGGCUUUGACGGGUAGCCGGCCUGAGAGGGUGACCGGCCACAUUGGGACUGAGAUACGGCCCAGACUCCUACGGGAGGCAGCAGUGGGGUAUAUUGUACAAUGGGCGGAAGCCUGAUGCAGCAACGCCGCGUGCGGGAUGACGGCCUUCGGGUUGUAAACCGCUUUCGCCUGUGACGAAGCGUGAGUGACGGUAAUGGGUAAAGAAGCACCGGCUAACUACGUG
rnacentral:rRNA from 1 species